rnacentral:rRNA from 1 species
GGGCCCGCACAAGCAGUGGAGUAUGUGGUUUAAUUCGAAGCAACGCGAAGAACCUUACCGGGGCUUGACAUGGCAGCGAAUGUCGCAGAGAUGCGGCAGCCUUCGGGCGCUGUCACAGGUGGUGCAUGGUUGUCGUCAGCUCGUGUCGUGAGAUGUUGGGUUAAGUCCCGCAACGAGCGCAACCCUUAUCAACAGUUGCUACAUUUAGUUGAGAACUCUGUUGAGACUGCCGUCGACAAGACGGAGGAAGGUGGGGAUGAGGUCAAAUCAUCAUGCCCUUUAUGUCCCGGGCUACACACGUACUACAAUGGCGGUUAACAGACCGGAGCAAGCGCGCGAGCGUGAGCAAAACGGAAAAGCCGCCUCAGUUCGGAUUGCAGGCUGAAACUCGCCUGUAUGAAGUCGGAAUUGCUAGUAAUCGCGAAUCAGCAUGUCG